rnacentral:rRNA from 1 species
CCUACGGGUGGCAGCAGUGAGGAAUAUUGGUCAAUGGACGAGAGUCUGAACCAACCAAGUAGCGUUAAGGAUGACUGCCCUAUGGGUUGUAAACUUCUUUUAUAUGGGAAUAAAAUGUUCCACGUGUGGGAUUUUGUAUGUACCAUAUGAAUAAGGAUCGGCUAACUCCGUGCCAGCAGCCGCGGUAAUACGGAGGAUCCGAGCGUUAUCCGGAUUUAUUGGGUUUAAAGGGAGCGUAGGUGGAUUGUUAAGUCAGUUGUGAAAGUUUGCGGCUCAACCGUAAAAUUGCAGUUGAAACUGGCAGUCUUGAGUACAGCAGAGGUGGGCGGAAUUCGUGGUGUAGCGGUGAAAUGCUUAGAUAUCACGAAGAACUCCGAUUGCGAAGGCAGUUCACUGGACUGCAACUGACACUGAGGCUCGAAAGUGUGGGUAUCAAACAGGAUUAGAUACCCCAGUAGUC